UGGGGAAUCUUGGACAAUGGGGGCAACCCUGAUCCAGCCAUGCCGCGUGAGUGAUGAAGGCCUUAGGGUCGUAAAGCUCUUUCGCCUGUGAAGAUAAUGACGGUAGCAGGUAAAGAAACCCCGGCUAACUCCGUGCCAGCAGCCGCGGUAAUACGGAGGGGGUUAGCGUUGUUCGGAAUUACUGGGCGUAAAGCGCACGUAGGCGGACCAGAAAGUUGGGGGUGAAAUCCCGGGGGCUCAACCCCGGAACUGCCUCCAAAACUAUUGGUCUAGAGUUCGAGAGAGGUGAGUGGAAUUCCAAGUGUAGAGGUGAAAUUCGUAGAUAUUUGGAGGAACACCAGUGGCGAAGGCGGCUCACUGGCUCGAUACUGACGCUGAGGUGCGAAAGUGUGGGGAGCAAAACAGGAUUAGAUACCCUGGUAGUCCACACCGUAAAACGAUGAAUGCCAGUCGUCGGGUAGCAUGCUAUUCGGUGACACACCUAACGGAUUAAGCAUUUCCGCCUGGGGAGUACGGUCGCAAGAUU
rnacentral:rRNA from 1 species